rnacentral:lncRNA from 1 species
UAUAAGUAUGUACCAAAGAUCGAUCCUGACUAGUUAGGCCCGGAAGGAUUAAUCUUGUUAGCGAUCAACCUCGAUUAACUAGGUUUAAGAGAAACUAGUUUCUAAUGUUUGGCCAAUGAUCAAUCCCAUUGCUUAAACCCAGAUCAUAGUCUAACUAGAGAGCUUUUCUCAUAAUUUCAUCAUAACUAAUUUCUCAUAAAUAAUUAUACUUAUUUUUAUAAUAAUAUCAUAUCAAAAUUUUUGCAUCUUAUUUUUAGAAA